AACUCGGCAAAAUGACCCCGUAACUUAGGGAUAAGGGGUGCCACCAUUAGGUGGCCGCAGAGAAUAGGCCCAAGCGACUGUUUACCAAAAACAUAGGUUUCUGCUAAGUCGCAAGACGAUGUAUAGGAGCUGACGCCUGCCCGGUGCUGGAAGGUUAAGGGGAUCUGUUAGAGUAAUCGAAGCAGUGAACUUAAGCCCCAGUAAACGGCGGCCGUAACUAUAACGGUCCUAAGGUAGCGAAAUUCCUUGUCGGGUAAGUUCCGACCCGCACGAAAGGCGUAACGAUUUGGGCACUGUCUCAACAACAGACUCGGUGAAAUUGUAAUUCCGGUGAAGAUGCCGGAUACCUGCGACAGGACGGAAAGACCCCAUGGAGCUUUACUGUAGCUUGACAUUGGGUCUUGGUACUACAUGUACAGGAUAGGUGGGAGGCUUUGAAACCAGGACGCCAGUUUUGGCGGAGCCAUCCUUGGGAUACCACCCUUGUAGUACUGGGACUCUAACCAUAGGCCAUGAAUCUGGUCUUGGGACACUGUCAGGUGGGCAGUUUGACUGGGGCGGUCGCCUCCCAAAAGGUAACGGAGGCGCUCAAAGGUUCUCUCAGUACGGUCGGAAAUCGUACGUAGAGUGUAAAGGCAAAAGAGAGCUUGAUUGCAAGACAUACAGGUCGAGCAAGGAUGAAAAUCGGACUUAGUGAUCCGGUGGUUCUGCGUGGAAGGGCCAUCGCUCAACGGAUAAAAGCUACCCUGGGGAUAACAGGCUUAUCUCCCCCAAGAGUCCACAUCGACGGGGAGGUUUGGCACCUCGAUGUCGGCUCAUCACAUCCUGGGGCUGUAGUAGGUCCCAAGGGUUGGGCUGUUCGCCCAUUAAAGUGGUACGCGAGCUGGGUUCAGAACGUCGUGAGACAGUUCGGUCCCUAUCCGUCGCAGGCGUAGGAAAUUUGAGAAGACCUGUCCUUAGUACGAGAGGACCGGGAUGGACG
rnacentral:rRNA from 1 species